UACGUAGGGGGCAAGCGUUGUCCGGAAUCAUUGGGCGUAAAGCGCGUGUAGGCGGUUCGGUAAGUCUGCUGUGAAAGUCCAGGGCUCAACCCUGGGAUGCCGGUGGAUACUGUCGGACUAGAGUACGGAAGAGGCGAGUGGAAUUCCCGGUGUAGCGGUGAAAUGCGCAGAUAUCAAGGAGGAACACCGGUGGCGAAGGCGGAUCUCUGGGCCUUACCUGACGCUGAGGCGCGAAAGCUAGGGGAGCGAACAGGA
rnacentral:rRNA from 1 species